rnacentral:rRNA from 1 species
UACGUAGGGUGCGAGCGUUAAUCGGAAUUACUGGGCGUAAAGCGUGCGCAGGCGGAUUGUUAAGCAAGAUGUGAAAUCCCCGGGCUUAACCUGGGAAUGGCAUUUUGAACUGGCAGUCUAGAGUGUGUCAGAGGGGGGUGGAAUUCCACGUGUAGCAGUGAAAUGCGUAGAGAUGUGGAGGAACACCAAUGGCGAAGGCAGCCCCCUGGGAUAACACUGACGCUCAUGUACGAAAGCGUGGGUAGCAAACAGGAUUAGAUACCCUGGUAGUCCACGCCCUAAACGAUGUCAACUGGUUGUUGGGGGAGUGAAAUCCCUUAGUAACGAAGCUAACGCGUGAAGUUGACCGCCUGGGGAGUACGGUCGCAAGAUUAAAACUCAAAGGAAUUGACGGGGACCCGCACAAGCGGUGGAUGAUGUGGAUUAAUUCGAUGCAACGCGAAAAACCUUACCUACCCUUGACAUGUCCGGAAUCCUGCAGAGAUGUGGGAGUGCCCGAAAGGGAAUCGGAACACAGGUGCUGCAUGGCUGUCGUCAGCUCGUGUCGUGAGAUGUUGGGUUAAGUCCCGCAACGAGCGCAACCCUUAUCAUUAGUUGCUACGCAAGGGCACUCUAAUGAGACUGCCGGUGACAAACCGGAGGAAGGUGGGGAUGACGUCAAGUCCUCAUGGCCCUUAUGGGUAGGGCUUCACACGUCAUACAAUGGUCGGUACAGAGGGUUGCCAAGCCGCGAGGUGGAGCCAAUCCCAGAAAGCCGAUCGUAGUCCGGAUUGUUCUCUGCAACUCGAGAGCAUGAAGUCGGAAUCGCUAGUAAUCGCGGAUCAGCAUGUCGCGGUGAAUACGAGAGCGGACCU